GAUGAACGCUGGCGGCGUGCCUAAUACAUGCAAGUCGAGCGAACGGACGAGAAGCUUGCUUCUCUGAUGUUAGCGGCGGACGGGUGAUUAACACGUGGAUAACCUACCUAUAAGACUGGGAUAACUUCGGGAAACCGGAGCUAAUACGGGAUAAUAUUUUGAACCGCAUGGUUCAAAAGUGAAAGACGGUCUUGCUGUCACUUAUAGAUGGAUCCCCGCUGCAUUAGCUAGUUGGUAAGGUAACGGCUUACCAAGGCAACGAUGCAUAGCCGACCUGAGAGGGUGAUCGGCCACACUGGAACUGAGACACGGUACAGACUCACACGGGAGGCAGCAGUAGGGAAACUUCCGCAAUGGGCGAAAGACUGACGGAGCAACGCCGCGUGAGUGAUGAAGGUCUUCGGAUCGUAAAACUCUGUUAUUAGGGAAGAACACAUGUGUAAGUAACUGUGAACAUCUUGACGGUACCUAAUCAGAAAGGCACGGCUAAAUACGUG
rnacentral:rRNA from 1 species